UGUAAAGGGUAUUAUUGUAAUAGUUAAUGAUGUAAAGGGUAUUAUUGUAGUAGGUUAAUGAUGUAAAGGGUAUUAUUGUAGUAGUUAAAUGAUGUAAAGGGUAUUAUUGUAGUAGGUUAAUGAUGUAAAGGGUAUUAUUGUAGUAGUUAAAUGAUGUAAAGGGUAUUAUUGUAGUAGGUUAAUGAUGUAAAGGGUAUUAUUGUAGUAGUUAAAUGAUGUAAAGGGUAUUAUUGUAGUAGUUAAUGAUGUAAAGGGUAUUAUUGUAGUAGUUAAAUGAUGUAAAGGGUAUUAUUGUAGUAGUUAAUGAUGUAAAGGGUAUUAUUGUAGUAGUUAAAUGAUGUAAAGGGUAUUAUUGUAGUAGGUUAAUGAUGUAAAGGGUAUUAUUGUAGUAGUUAAAUGAUGUAAAGGGUAUUAUUGUAGUAGUUAAUGAUGUAAAGGGUAUUAUUGUAGUAGUUAAUGAUGUAAAGGGUAUUAUUGUAGUAGUUAAAUGAUGUAAAGGGUAUUAUUGUAGUAGUUAAAUGAUGUAAAGGGUAUUAUUGUAGUAGUUAAUGAUGUAAAGGGUAUUAUUGUAGUAGUUAAAUGAUGUAAAGGGUAUUAUUGUAGUAG